UGUGAUGUCAUAUACUUUCAAAGACCCCAUG
rnacentral:piRNA from 1 species